CCAUGUUUUUCACACUGCAAUGCAUUCUGGGUAAAUGACGUGUAAUGGUCCAACUGCCUGGCUCCUCCAGCCAAAACAGUGAUGAGUACCGUUAUUUAGCCUUUUUAAUUUGAACCGGAGCGCAUUGAAAACGAUUGGAACAUAGAAAUCAGAAGAGGUGAUGAAGAUGACGAGGAGCAAACAGAGGAAGAGGGCAGAGUUGGCCGCAGGAGCUGGUGUUUUGCUGCUGCCUUCAGCUUCAUAAUGAAAGGAUGAAUAACAUUUACCUCUGGUCGGACUCAGUGAUCCGACUCCGGUACAGAAUGGACCAUUAUGCGUCAUCAACCCAGCGGUGAAAAAAUGGCGACCUCCAUGGGUGAAAAAUA